UACAGAGGUCUCAAGCGUUGUUCGGAUUCAUUGGGCGUAAAGGGUGCGUAGGCGGCGCGGUAAGUCGGGUGUGAAAUUUCGAGGCUUAACUUCGAAACUGCAUUCGAUACUGCCGUGCUAGAGGACUGGAGAGGAGACUGGAAUUUACGGUGUAGCGGUGAAAUUCGUAGAUAUUGGGAAGAACACCGGUGGCGAAGGCGGCGACCUGGUCCGAUACUGACGCUGAGGCGCGAAAGCGUGGGGAGCAAACAGG
rnacentral:rRNA from 1 species